rnacentral:ncRNA from 1 species
AGAACUGAUAUUCCGACAGGUGGAAUGAGGGAGUAACGCCCCGAAACGCCUGACUUGAUACUGCGGUAUGCUGUAAUUAUUACAAUGUAAUUAUGGUGUAAAGUCCGCUGAAGUCGGCAGAAGUUUGCCCAAACGGGUUAAGCCGUGGCAAGUGUCCCAGAGGUGGGAUAUGCAGAUGAUAUGCCGGAGGUCUAUAAA